rfam:Stegodyphus mimosarum contig83514, whole genome shotgun sequence.
GCCUUCGUGGUGUAGUGGUCUGCAUGCUCGACGCUAACCGAGAGGUCCGUGGUUCAAUUCCCAGCGAAGGCG